rnacentral:piRNA from 1 species
UGGGAACAGUUUUGUUGAUGUGUUGACAGC